UUUUACCAAAUGAGUAUGCUUUGAUCUAAACCAAAGCAUACUCAUGCAGUCGGAGCCACACCCACUGUAGCUCCGAUUGUUUAGGGUUGUUGCCCCACUGGAAGAUGUUCAUCUGGCCCAGUUUCAAGUCUUUUGCAUGUUAGCAUCCUCGUAUCGUUAUGCUACGAUACGAGCAUAACAAUACUCUCACCAGAUCCCUCAUAAAUUUUUUUUUUUUUUUGGGGUGAGUUGAUUUUCUUGCAGAUCUCUCUGUAGUAUUAGAGGAAGUUGGAGUAAAUGAAUUCACAACUCUAAAACCAUAAAAUUGACAUGACAAAUAAUUAGCACGUCUGAUUGUAGCUAAUGAAGCAGGCAGAGAUCCUUGUUUCUUAGUGUAACCGUCCAAGAUAUUUGUUGUUAUACCGAUCUCUGCAGCACAUGGAUUUGAAAACAAAAAAACUAAUGAUUAAAAAAGUAUGUUUUUCAGUUGGUAUAGAUACAUGAAGGAUAUUCUUUUGUCUGCAGCAGCAUCUUAGCAGUGAAGAAGACGUUGCCAGCUGGCUUCCUUUGCCACGCCACAGGAGAGGACUCCCUCUGUGUUUUUUUUCCGUGACGUCUCCUUCGCUGCGCUGGCACACGACGUAUGCAGUCCUGUUCUUCUGCAACACAACGGUAAUUUUGUCCAUAGACGACUGACUUUCUCGUAAAACCAAAAAGUUGCAUACACUUAAGGAGGUGAGAUGGUUCGUGUGUCGGCAUGUCUGUCUGGAAGCAACAGUUGCUCAGGUUUCCAUGCAGCAUCAUAUAAGCUUCUUGUUCUGCACUUUUCUGGACAGGAUGGUUCCAGGAAUCCCUCCUGGAACCAUGAAAGGUCAAAGUGUUCCAGUACUUUCCCAGUGGUACCAUUACUUAGAACUGCUACCAUCAUGACAGCUGUGUUUUGAAGUUUCCAGCUAACUUGACGUUCAGCUGGCGAGUUAUCGCCAGUUUAAAAGCUCUGUUAACACCUACUGUCAGUAUCCAAGCUGAACUAAAGCUACUACUUCAAAAAAGGUGUUAAAAUUGUCUCUGCAUUAUUAAACAAAAUGGCAACAUAAAAAAAACACCCUGUUGAUAUAAAAUACACACAUAGUAUGUAUGUUUGAUACGUAUUUGCUGUGCUUAUUGCUGUGUCACUGUCUUUAUGUACAUAAAGUCUAGUAAACUUUGAUUUGGAUCUUUUUCAUUUAGAAAACCUUAAGCUCAUUAGGCAUAACUGGCAUUUCCUCAAAGAGUCAUAAUAAUUCCCUUAAUCUCUUUUAAUUUGUUCAAAUAAAAUGAGUUUUCUUUUCAUUGUAUAUUUAGUUAGCAUAAACAACCCCUUCCGCAUUCAUUACGACUCCUGGGGAAGACGCGUAAAAACCUUAAAAGGAAGUCUUUCAUUGCAAGACCUUAGUUUGAGCACCUAUUUAACAGAGUGAGAAGUUACAUGUAAAGAAAUCAAUGCUGCUACAAUUAUUGACACUACUAACAACUCCUAUAAAUUAAAUGUAAAAGUAGUAUUUCCACUUUACUAGUUUAAAUUGAUUGGAGUUGUGUACAAGUGUAUUUGCCUCUUAUGGAUUUCUUCUGUUUUUUUUUUUUUUUUAAGUUUUUUUU